CUCCUGGGGGAGGCAGCAGUGGAGAAUUUUGGACAAUGGGCACAAGCCUGAUGCAGCAAUGCCGCGUGAGUGAAGAAGUUCUUCGGGUUGUAAUCUUCUUUUGUCAGAGAAGAAACGGCUGAGGAUAAUGCCUUCGGCUUAUGGCGGUCUCUGCAGAAUAAGCCGCGGCUAUCUGCGUCACCACAGCCGCGGUAAUGUGUAGGGCGCAAGCGUUACUCGGAAUUUCUGGGCGUAAAGCGUGCGCAGGGUGUUUUGUAAGUCUGAUGUGAAAUCCCCGGGCUCCCCCUGGGAAUUGCGUUAAGACUGGAGGCUAGAGCAUGGCAGAGGGGGGUAGAAUUCCGUGUGUAGCAGUGAAAUGCGUAGAGAUGUAGAGGAACCACGAUCGCGAAGGCAUCUCCCUGGGGUAACUCUCACGCUCAUGCGCGAAAGCGUGGAGAGCAAACAGGAAUAGAUCCCCGGGUAGCCCACGCCCUAAGCUGUGUCUUCUAGUUGUCGGGUCUUAAUGCCUUAGUAACGCAGCUAACGCGUGAAGUAGACCCGCCCG
rnacentral:rRNA from 1 species